GAGGAUUCCACCCAAAAGAAACUCAAAAGAAAGGCUAAGAAAACAAAUGGAAAAAACUUUCAGGCAUCAGUGAAACAUAUCUGUCAAUCCCUAUAAAGAUCUGACAAAAAAAUUCAAUUAUAAUCUUGCUAAAAGCACAACAUAUCUUAGAAGUCUUGACAAUGAUGCAAAUUUUGGUCCAGGUUGGUGAAGCUAGAGUGUGAAAAUCAGAUAACUCAGGGAUAUCACGGGUUUUCAAAAAUUUACUUGAGGGUAUUCUUGGAAGUUAAGAAAAAUCACUAAUAUGACGGGACAAUCUAUAGUAUAAUAAUCAAUCUGAAAAAGUUGUGGAUUAUGCAUGUUUUAAGUUAAAAAUUCUUAAAAUUACUUCUCUCUAUAAGCUACACCAAACACAACAAUACCAGCUUAUAGUAAGGUAUAAACUAUGAUCCUGUAACCUAGCUGCACCAAACAGGCUUCAUCAACUUGAAAUAAUUUUCUCUCAUCAUCUCGUCUUUAUAAUUCCUAAUAAUCCAUUCCUCCCAGUUUCCUUCUCUUUCAUUGUCAAGAUUUCAUAACAAACUAACAAAAAUAGCAACCCAUAGUGAAAAAUCUCUGUUGCAAGUGAGAUGGAAACAAGUACGGUCAUAAUGACCAACAAAAUAUCUAUUUUGUAGAAGUAAAACAAAGUUAGAUCAAGAAGUGAAUGGCGAUAAGAGAAGAUAAAAAAAAGACAGAAAAGGCAAUAUACUAAUUUAAUAUGCCUCACCUAUAGAAAGUGAAAGUUCUAUGUUUUUACAAAACUAUCUAAACACAACUUACACCCUGUACAAGUUAUUGAUCAUAUUAGAAGGAGGGGGGGAUGUUUAAGACACUACCGUAGUGAUGGAGCAUAUUAAUUCAAAAUGAAUAAUGCAGAGCUAAAGAUGAAUAGUUCGAUCUACGUACUAUACACAAAUUCCUUGAACUUCAUUAUCAAGAAUUGGGUCAUUCUAUCAAGUGCAGAGACCUCCUAGACUCCUAGAAAAUGAAUAUCUGCAUCAUCAUCCAAAUCUCGCACAAACAAUUUUCAUAUGUGCACCAAAACAUAGCAUGUCAUGAAUAGGAAUUUAUAAUAUUAGUUAAAAGAAUACAACUGCAUAAUACAUAAAACAUUGUACAUUAUCAAUAUAUAUUAAACAAGGUAUUAUUAUACCCAAAUCUACAUCCUACAUCUACAUCCUUCUCUCUCUCUCUUUCCUUUUUUUUAAUGACAAGUAAACUGCAUCCUACUCUCUUGGGGUUUCCAAAUCAGCAUGUUCAUGGAGUUGUUGCAAAUAAAGGAAGCCACUGUCAUAGAUACCGGAACAGCAUCAUUUAAUAUCAUCCCAUAAGUGUUCAUAUAUGAUAUAGUCCCAGAUGUGCAAAUGCACCCCAAAGUUGUUAACAUCUCCGUUGAUUGUCCAUGAGAAACCUAAGGCAACAUUCAAACUCUGAAAUUCCAUUUCCCAAAACAAUUAAAAGGAGUUGAAAAGUAAAUUCAUUACUACAAAGGUUCUCUUUCUCUUUCCCUUUUCUAUCCAAAGAAACCAGAGGAAAAAAAAUCAAACCACUGAUAUAUAAAAUAAAACCGAUCAUAAAAGUCCAACCACCAUUACGCUUGUGUAUAAAAUUCAAUAAGAACAUAGAACAGGGUUAUUAAUCUGCACUGAAACAAAAUAAAACAAAAUUUUAAACGAAUCACCCUGAACUAUAAAACAACAAAAAUUGAUGUUAGAUCAAACUUUUUUGGCUGCAAAAAAAUAAAACCAACAAGCAAUAAUACAAUAGAACGGAAAACAUAACAAAAUACAAAAUGAAUCCGGCAGUGACUCAACGAAAUCGAUAAGUAUACAAAGAUACAACUCAAUCGAACCAAUUAAAUCGACAAAUUCAUCGGAAAACUGGGAGAAAUAUGUAUAAUUUUUUGUGCCGGAUAAGCGUACCGUUAGAGGUUGAAUUAAAGGCUGACGACGGCGAGUCAAAUUGAUCAAAGGGAAGAGAAGACGAUGAGAAAGAUAACAGAUGGCUUAAGGAGAGAAGAUUCUGGUUUUCGCAAAGAUAAUUGGGGGAGGAGAGAGAAAGGGAGGAGAUUGUAAUGGAAAGAAAGAAGUUUUGUUUUUUUGAUAUUCCCAACCAACA
rnacentral:lncRNA from 1 species